CCCUUAGAUGUUCUGGGCCGCACGCGCGCUACACUGAUGCAUUCAACGAGUUUCUUCCUGGUCCGAGAGGAAUGGGUAACCUUUUGAAAGUGCAUCGUGAUAGGGAUAGACUAUUGCAAUUAUUGGUCUUCAACGAGGAAUUCCUAGUAGACGUAGUUCAUCAGACUGCAUCGAUUACGUCCCUGCCCUUUGUACACACCGCCCGUCGCUCAUACCGAUUGAAUGCUCAGGUGAGCCAUUCGGACUUUCAUCAUGCUGGUUUCCAGUUUUGAUGAAGGAAAGUCUUGCGAACCUUAUCAUUUAGAGGAAGGAGAAGUCGUAACA
rnacentral:rRNA from 1 species